GCGGUCGUGGCGGAAUUGGCAGACGCGCUAGCUUCAGGCGCUAGUGGUAGCAAUACCGUGGAAGUUCGAGUCUUCUCGGCCGCAUCA
rnacentral:tRNA from 3 species